rnacentral:rRNA from 1 species
UAGAGUGGACCCCCCAUGGUUCAACAAAGAGAAAAGAUUUUUUGGUCAAAGGAAGGGCCCCGGCGCCUUUAUAAGGUUGUGUGGAGAGGAAAGGCCUCACCCGGGGCGACGGGGGGUUCCCCCGCCUGAAGAGGUUCCCCGCCCACCGGGGGGAUUGAGCCCCGGCCCAAAUUUCUUAGGGAGGGCAGCAGGGGGGAAUUUUGCCCAAGGGGCGCAAGCCUGAUGCAGCAACGCCGCUUGAGGGAUGACGGCCUUCGGGUUGUAAACCUCUUUUAGUAGGGAAGAAGCGAAAGUGACGGUACCUGCAGAAAAAGCACGGGCUAACUACGUGCCAGCAGCCGCGGUAAUACGUAGGGUGCAAGCGUUGUCCGGAAUUAUUGGGCGUAAAGAGCUCGUAGGCGGUUUGUCGCGUCUGCUGUGAAAACUGGAGGCUCAACCUCCAGCCUGCAGUGGGUACGGGCAGACUAGAGUGCGGUAGGGGAGAUUGGAAUUCCUGGUGUAGCGGUGGAAUGCGCAGAUAUCAGGAGGAACACCGAUGGCGAAGGCAGAUCUCUGGGCCGUAACUGACGCUGAGGAGCGAAAGCGUGGGGAGCGAACAGGAUUAGAUACCCUGGUAGUCCACGCCGUAAACGUUGGGAACUAGAUGUGGGGGCCAUUCCACGGUCUCCGUGUCGCAGCUAACGCAUUAAGUUCCCCGCCUGGGGAGUACGGCCGCAAGGCUAAAACUCAAAGGAAUUGACGGGGGCCCGCACAAGCGGCGGAGCAUGCGGAUUAAUUCGAUGCAACGCGAAGAACCUUACCAAGGCUUGACAUAUACGAGAACGGGCCAGAAAUGGUCAACUCUUUGGACACUCGUAAACAGGUGGUGCAUGGUUGUCGUCAGCUCGUGUCGUGAGAUGUUGGGUUAAGUCCCGCAACGAGCGCAACCCUCGUUCUAUGUUGCCAGCACGUCAUGGUGGGAACUCAUAGGAGACUGCCGGGGUCAACUCGGAGGAAGGUG